rnacentral:rRNA from 2 species
CUUCUCUAGACACUCAGCAUGUGUACUGCCGUUGUAAGCACACCUCUAAAAGACCUAGUGUGCUGAUAUGGUUAAAUCCCAUUUACAUCAGGUCAAAGUGCAGCCAAUGAGAAGGUGAUGAUGGGUUACAACCCCAAAACAGAAUAUCAGAUAAGAGAUAAAAAAUCUUAAGAAAGUGGACUUGGCUGUAAUUAAUUUACAAGUUAAAAAAAUGAAUAAGAACCUAAGACAUGCACACAUCGCCCGUCACUCUACCCCAAAGGGUAGAUAAGUCGUAACAAAGUAGGCGUAAUGGAAAUUGCGCCUGUCGAAGUAUAGCAUAUAUAAUGCUUUUUACUUACACUAAAAAUAAAGUCUAUCAACUUACUUCGCCCAAGUAUAAAACCCCUAUAACUAAUAAGUCAUAAAAACAAUUAAAUAAUAACACACUAACAAGUACAGAAAUGGAACCAAUAACAAAGAAAAGUAAAUUUUAAAAAAUGUACCUUGUGCAUUAUGGUUUUACAAGAAAGUAAUUAAAACAUAAAUCCCGAAUUCUAAGUGAGUUGUUGAGCUGCUGCUCAGACCCCAUUAAUAACUGUAUAAAAAGUUUUAAAAGACAGCUUAACAGAGGCUACAUACCAUUCGCACAAGAAUAUAGCUGGUUUUCAACAAACAUUAUACAUUAAAACAUAUAACCAAGUUAUAGUGUCACAUUAUUGAGGACAAGCCCAAUAAUAAAAGCAAUACCUGUCCCAAUCCAUCAAACAUCAUAGGCCUAAAAUCAGCCAACCAAAAUACGUUACCGUAUAAAGAAAUGAUAAAAUACAUAACUAUUAAUGCUAAAUAAAGUUGAAAUAACGAAUAAACCACCUCAUCGAACUUAAUAUGUAAAAAUAAGUAUUAAAAAUUCACAAUAAAAACACCCUAGUAACGCGCAACCAUAAAAUAGACAAUAACUAAUCAAGGAACUCGGCAAACCCCUAUUUCGACUGUUUAACAAAAACAUUGCCCCAUGAAUAACAUGUGGGGUA